CCUGCGGGUGGCAGCAGUGGGGAAUAUUGGACAAUGGGGGCAACCCUGAUCCAGCCAUGCCGCGUGUGUGAAGAAGGCCCUCGGGUUGUAAAGCACUUUCAGUGAGGAAGAACGCCUGGUGGUUAAUACCCAUCAGGAAAGACAUCACUCACAGAAGAAGCACCGGCUAACUCCGUGCCAGCAGCCGCGGUAAUACGGAGGGUGCGAGCGUUAAUCGGAAUUACUGGGCGUAAAGCGCGCGUAGGUGGCUUGAUAAGCCGGUUGUGAAAGCCCCGGGCUCAACCUGGGAACGGCAUCCGGAACUGUCAAGCUAGAGUGCAGGAGAGGAAGGUAGAAUUCCCGGUGUAGCGGUGAAAUGCGUAGAGAUCGGGAGGAAUACCAGUGGCGAAGGCGGCCUUCUGGACUGACACUGACACUGAGGUGCGAAAGCGUGGGUAGCAAACAGGAUUAGAUACCCCGGUAGUC
rnacentral:rRNA from 1 species